rnacentral:rRNA from 1 species
GACGGGGACCCGCACAAGCAGCGGAGCGUGUGGUUUAAUUCGAUGCUACACGAAGAACCUUACCAGGGUUUGACAUGCAAGUGGUAGGAAACUGAAAGGGACGACCUUCGGGAGCUUGCACAGGUGCUGCAUGGCUGUCGUCAGCUCGUGUCGUGAGAUGUUCGGUUAAGUCCGCUAACGAGCGCAACCCUCACUGUGUGUUAUAUGUGUCACACGGGACUGCCGGUUUUAAGCCGGAGGAAGGUGGGAUGACGUCAAGUCAGCAUGGCCUUUAUAUCCUGGGCUACACACACGCUACAAUGGUCGGUACAAUAGGUUGCCAAGCCGCGAGGCGGAGCCAAUCCAAAAAAGCCGGCCUCAGUUCAGAUUGUAGGCUGCAACUCGCCUGCAUGAAGAUGGAGUUGCUAGUAACCGCAGGUCAGCAAUACUGCGGUGAAUACGUUCCCGGGUCUU